CUCCUUUAGUCUUUUCAGUUUUCCAGCAUCUGGCUCAUCAUUUUUUACAUGAAACUGUCUUCAUUGUAAUACUGGUGCAGUUUCUGUUUCCUGACGACUGACUGAAGCAGUCCCAGUCCCAGUCGCCCUGCACUGGCUCACCAUCAUCUGAACUAAGCCUGAAGAAGAGCAUCCUGAUGGAAAAUUAAUAUUGGCUUCCCAUUCCCCUUAGGAUAAAGUCUAAACCUCGGGCCCUGUCUGAUUUUAUAGCUGCAUCUCUUGCUGUCCCAAGCUUGCAACUUAUGCUGUAGGCAUAUGGGACUUCCUGAAGUUCUUCCCGGUUGCCAUGCUUUGUCACCUUCAAGCCAUUGAAUAUAUGUUUCUUCUGCUAAGGACACUGAUACUUUCCACUCUUUUAUCUGGAUAACUCUCACAUAUCCUUCAAGUGCCAGCAGAGAUGUCAGUUCCCCUGGGAGCCUUCAGUGAUUUCUCCCUCUUUCCCAUGGUAUCCUGUCCUUUCCUUCUGAUGGCAUUCAUUUACUUAUUUGUUUCUUCCACUGGACUGCAAACUCCUUGAAAGCAGUACUACCUGUAAUUUAAUAAGUAGCUUCAUAAAUAUUUGACAAGGACUUCCUUAGAAAAUCUCAAUGCUUUCUUUUUACUUUUUUGGAGCAAGGACGAAGAUCCAGUUACCAUGACUGCUGAUGCAAGCCAUGCCCUGCGUGAUUACUGAGUGUUUCAUCUCCCAUCCAAAGGACAAGCUAAUGUUGUGAAAAUUGCCAAAGUGGGACUCAAGGGCAACAAACAAGAUGCCUUAGAGACCUGAGAUGUCUCUGAGGCUGCCGUGUGUCACUCCCGUGAUGGAGGGGGACAGGGAUCAGCUAUUGAGUCACCGGGUUAAAAGCCUUCCCAUCACCCACAGUAGCUGAAGGCAUUGUGUCAAAGAUAAGCAGCGAAAGAAAAUGAAGCCUUGUCAAGUCCUCACACAUAUGAUUUCAGGAUGCUAAUGAGAGGCAUCGGAUCAGAGGGGAAGACUGUGAAUGUGCCUGCUUUUCUGAGGCUGCACCAUGCAAUGAAAGAAAAAGACUUCAGCGCCAGAACUUGGUUCAAAUCUUGGUUUUUCUUCUAACUCCCAAUGGAGUUAGGGACCUUGCUGCCAAGAUACUUGGAGGUCAGAAGACCCAGUAGCUCCACCCCAGAAGAUCAGCCCUGUUAACACAGCCGUGUUGUUAAAGCACAGAGGCACUGAGACAGCAACAAGGAGAGAGAGCGCCUCCUCCCAGGGAAAUCGAGCUAUUUUCUUGGUUGUCAUCUAGCAUCCCCAGGCCUGAG
rnacentral:lncRNA from 1 species